GACGAACGCUGGCGGCGUGCCUAACACAUGCAAGUCAACUUGACUGAAGGAGCAAUCUGACAGUAGAGUGGCGCAAGGGUGCGUAACGCGUAAGUAACUUGCCCAAGGUAAGGAAUAACGUCGAGAAAUCGGCGCUAAUACCUCAUAAUGCAGCGGAUCCGCAUGGAUAAUGUUGUUAAAGGUUUACCGCCUUGGGAUAGGCUUGCGUCUGAUUAGUUAGUUGGUGUGGUAACGGCACACCAAGGCUACGAUCAGUAACUGGUCUGAGAGGAUGAUCAGUCACACUGGAACUGAGACACGGUCCAGACUCCUACGGGAGGCAGCAGUGAGGAAUAUUGGGCAAUGCUCGAAAGAGUGACCCAGCAACGCCGCGUGGAGGAUGAAGGUAUUCUAUAUCGUAAACUCCUGUGAGAGCAGACGAAAGACAGAUUAUUAAUCUGGAUGACUGUAUGCUCAGAGGAAGCCCCGGCUAACUACGU
rnacentral:rRNA from 1 species